AUUGAACGCUGGCGGCAGGCUUAACACAUGCAAGUCGAGCGAGAGGCGGACGGGUGAGUAAUGUCUGGGAAACUGCCUGAUGGCGGGGGAUAACUACUGGAAACGGUAGCUACUACCGCAUCCCCUCGGAUGUGCCCAGAGGGGAUUAGCUAGUAGGUGGGGUAAUGGCUCACCUAGGCGACGAUCCCUAGCUGGUCUGAGAGGAUGACCAGCCACACUGGAACUGAGACACGGUCCAGACUCCUACGGGAGGCAGCAGUGGGGAAUAUGGCACAAUGGGCGCAAGCCUGAUGCAGCCAUGCCGCGUGUGUGAAGAAGGCCUUCGGGUUGUAAAGCACUUUCAGCGGGGAGGCGUUACUCGCAGAAGAAGCACCGGCUAACUCCGUGCCAGCAGCCGCGGUAAUUC
rnacentral:rRNA from 1 species